GUGCCAGCAGCCGCGGUAAUACGGAGGGUGCAAGCGUUAAUCGGAAUUACUGGGCGUAAAGCGCGCGUAGGUGGCUUGAUAAGCCGGUUGUGAAAGCCCCGGGCUCAACCUGGGAACGGCAUCCGGAACUGUCAGGCUAGAGUGCAGGAGAGGAAGGUAGAAUUCCCGGUGUAGCGGUGAAAUGCGUAGAGAUCGGGAGGAAUACCAGUGGCGAAAGGCGGCCCUUCUGGACUGACACUGACACUGAGGUGCGAAAGCGUGGGUAGCAAACAGGAUUAGAUACCCUGGUAGUCC
rnacentral:rRNA from 1 species